CAAAGAUUUAUCGGCAAAGGAUGGGCCUGCGUCUGAUUAGCUAGUUGGUAAGGUAACGGCUUACCAAGGCGACGAUCAGUAGCCGACCUGAGAGGGUGAACGGCCACAUUGGAACUGAGACACGGUCCAAACUCCUACGGGAGGCAGCAGUGGGGAAUAUUGCACAAUGGGCGAAAGCCUGAUGCAGCAACGCCGCGUGAAGGAAGAAGGCCUUCGGGUCGUAAACUUCUGUCCUUGGGGAAGAAGAACUGACGGUACCCAAGGAGGAAGCCCCGGCUAACUACGUGCCAGCAGCCGCGGUAAUACGUAGGGGGCAAGCGUUAUCCGGAAUUAUUGGGCGUAAAGAGUACGUAGGUGGCAACCUAAGCGCAGGGUUUAAGGCAAUGGCUCAACCAUUGUUCGCCCUGCGAACUGGGAUGCUUGAGUGCAGGAGAGGAAAGCGGAAUUCCUAGUGUAGCGGUGAAAUGCGUAGAUAUUAGGAGGAACACCAGUGGCGAAGGCGGCUUUCUGGACUGUAACUGACACUGAGGUACGAAAGCGUGGGGAGCAAACAGGAUUAGAUACCCUGGUAGUCCACGCC
rnacentral:rRNA from 1 species